rnacentral:rRNA from 1 species
UACGUAGGGUGCGAGCGUUAAUCGGAAUUACUGGGCGUAAAGGGUGCGCAGGCGGUCUUGUAAGUUGGGUGUGAAAGCCCCGGGCUUAACCUGGGAAUGGCAUUCUGGACUGCGAGGCUUUGAGUGUGGCAGAGGGAGGUGGAAUUCCACGUGUAGCAGUGAAAUGCGUAGAUAUGUGGAGGAACACCGAUGGCGAAGGCAGCCUCCUGGGCCAGCACUGACGCUCAUGCACGAAAGCGUGGGGAGCAAACAGG